CUCUGUGUGGCUACAUCAGUUACGAACAAGGCACCUCAGUGAAAAGACCACUUCGACCUCAGUUUGCAGCUAUGAAGACUACCCUGGUUUUGGUCUGUCUGGUUGCCGUCGCCUCGGCAAGGCCUCAGUUCUUAGGAUUUGGUAGACCCAGCGCCUUUGGCAGCGCCGGGGCCAACGGCAUCCAGGCACAGAGCCAGGGCCUCUUUGGCCCCACCACCCAAAUUCAGCAGCUGGGUACUGCCGCCCAGGGAGGCGCAUUCAACGGCGGAUCAAACCUCAGUCAAGGCACUGCCACUCUUUCCCAGGGCCUCGGACCCUUCGGAGGAGCUCAACAAUUCGGCAAUACCGGCGCCUUUAGCAGCCAGUUCACAGGCUAGCGCUGUGCUCUGAUAAAUACAGAAACAUGCUCAGAAUCAUGAUCACAUGGCUGAAGGGUUUUCCCUCAUGGACGGAGUAAUGUCUGUCAUAACAUGCAAGCAACGUGACUGGAUUAUUUUAACGCCGAAUAUGGCUGUCGUCAGCAGCAAGACACAACUAACUUUCAAUGCCUGCAGAGUGGCGUGUUCCAAACACUUACCGUCGUUUCACAGCCUAGGUAUAUUUAACUUCCACUGAUAGCAAAUUAUUCAGCGCUAAUUAUGAACUACUUUCAAUUGAAACGCUGGCCAAUGGUUCUGUGCAGAGUUGUGAACAUACGAGUACAUGUGGCAAAACUAGUGUCAUUCGGUAAAACUAUGCAUACCAUGACUGAACAGGAAAACACACAGUAAAACUUUUGUGUGUUACACUACAUCUCACACUACAACAAAAAAUGUCGAAUAAGAGAACGGAAAGAAAAUCGAUGGUAAUUGUAUGAUGUAUAAUAACAAGAAGUUGUGCAGAGCGAGUCAUAGUGUCGGCAUAGCAUUUUUGCACAGAUCAUGUCUGGAAACAUCUGAACCCAUUGUUCAGUUGGUAUGUUACAUGUGCGGAACAAAGCGUAGUAAAGUAAGAAGAAGAGUUGCUCGAAAAUGUCUAAAAGGUUGUUAUUUUAGCUGAAUAAAAACUGAAAACCAUUGCAA